rnacentral:rRNA from 1 species
UAGAGUUUGAUCCUGGCUCAGAUUGAACGCGGCGGCAGGCCUAACACAUGCAAGUCGAGCGGAUGAAAGGAGCUUGCUCCUGGAUUCAGCGGCGGACGGGUGAGUAAUGCCUAGGAAUCUGCCUGGUAGUGGGGGACAACGUUUCGAAAGGAACGCUAAUACCGCAUACGUCCUACGGGAGAAAGCAGGGGACCUUCGGGCCUUGCGCUAUCAGAUGAGCCUAGGUCGGAUUAGCUAGUUGGUGAGGUAAUGGCUCACCAAGGCGACGAUCCGUAACUGGUCUGAGAGGAUGAUCAGUCACACUGGAACUGAGACACGGUGGGAGGCAGCAUUUGGACAAUGGGGAAAGCCUGAUCCAGCCAUGCCGCGUGUGUGAAGAAGGUCUUCGGAUUGUAAAGCACUUUAAGUUGGGAGGAAGGGCAGUAAAUUAAUACUUUGCUGUUUUGACGUUACCGACAGAAUAAGCACCGGCUAACCUGUGCCAGCAAUUAAUCGGAAUUACUGGGCGUAAAGCGCGCGUAGGUGGUUUGUUAAGUUGGAUGUGAAAUCCCGGGCUCAACCUGGGACACGCAAGCUAGAGUAUGGUAGAGGGUGGUGUAGUAUAGGAAGGCCAAAGGCGACCACGACAUAC